rnacentral:lncRNA from 1 species
GUUCAGACGAGAGCAAGAAGGCACUGGAGACUCUUCUUCACUGGCUGUUUCUUUUGGCUCAGUUCUCAGAUCCCCCAGUUCUUUCUUGGCUACUUUGGUUUUAAGCAGCUCUUUGUCCCAGGCAGCCAAAGCCUGCUUUUCUAUCUGCCGUAUUUCUGCUUCCUCUGCAUCCAGGCGGCGUUUCCACUCCAGCAAUUCUUCAGCAUGCUGUCGACGCUGCAUCAGCUUCUGUUCUCGUUUAGUUAGGAACCUGACAGACACAGCAGAAGACAGUCAAAGACCCCCCAAACCAGAUGCUCUAUUGCCACAAUUUCCAGAAUUUGAGCUAUUCCAAUUGUUUUCUAGGGAAAUUGCCACACUAAGUACUGUCUCCCACAUUUCUGACACAUAGAGAACACUUUUUUUUUGCAGUAAAGAAAGUCUACAAGAUAUUGUAAAACUGCUGCUAACAUUCAAGGAAUUUUCAACAUCUUUAAAAGUGCUAAUAAUAUAUUCAGUAAAAGGAACGGGGUCAGCUCCUAAUUUUAGAGCAUGAGAAGUACUUGUGGCAUGAAACUGGAACCCUCAAGAAAGCAGUGACUGAAAAAUGAACCUAUCUUUCUGCUAAUUCCAAUGACAGAGAAAUAUCGUGGCCCCAGAUGCCCCACAGUUCUUUCUAAAUAACUAAUUAGAAGAGGUGUUCCUGUAGUAGUAAUCCACCUGGAAGGUUUACUGGAAUUACUGGAGCUUUUAUCCUUCUUCCUUUGACUAUCAUCUCUGG